GUGAGUUCUGUGGAGCACGUUCUGCUGGGAGGGUAAGCUCUUCUCUCCUCUUCCACCAUGCCUGCUUCGUUACCGGGAGCAGCCCUGUGUGACAUGGUGAUAGGCGAGGAUCCAAGGUGCCUUUGCUGGGCUCUGUGAGCAGAGAGAGCCUCACCUUCCCCUUGCCACAUCUGGAGUCUUCAAGGAAGUGAGAAGUGUUCACGUUGCAGCUGCAGCCCCUUUCAUGACAUGUUCGAACUGAAGACUCCAACAACAACUUUAAGAUCAACCAAAAAUUCCCACCAUUAUGGCUACCAAUUCUAACCCUUGGACCUUAACACACAAUCUUGCUUCCUGGUCUGGUUCAUUAUUUCCUAUCUUCUUUUCCUCCCUCAGAAAAACAAGUCCAUUCAUAGUUACAGUUGUGGGAUGUGGGGAGGAGCCCUCGCCUGUGCCCUAGAAAGGAGAACACUGCAGGAAGGGGGCCACUAAUUAGCUGGUCCCAGAGCUUCAUGAAGCUGGCAUGGUUUCUUUAUUUUUAAGGCUUCAAGGCAGGGGCCAGACUGGGCAAAGAACAAUGAGAGCAUCGCAGAGGUGAUGCUUUUAAUGAUACAGUCGCUAAUGAAAUGGCACUCCACGGGUUCACUUAUUAGUAACUUAGCUCAAACAGCCAUGUCCCACUGUCAGCUUGCCACUGAAGACCCAGUGUGACCUCAGAAUUGUCAGCUCCACCUGAAAAAGAGCAAAUGUAGCAGGAAAUCCAGAGGCAGCAAGCAUAAUUUGGAGCGGGAAGAUUAACAACAACAGAGAGGGCCGUGGGAAUCUCUGCAUCUCCAGUUUGCUGGGACGUUAAGCCCGAAGCAGAGCUUCUAUGAAGAACAGGCUAACCUUGCACUACUUGGGUUGCAUCUGAUUUGUAAACAAUGGAACGACUUGAUUGAAUGUUUUUGGAGGCUUGGAUGACAGUGUUGGUAUUAGAGGAGUGACAAGCACAACUCCAUUCUCUGCUAAUUAUAUACUGUAGCUCUUCCUGAUGUUUUUCAGGGCACAGAGAUUUCUAACUUUAUGUUUGGAAAAUGAUUUAUGGGGAAAACACUUCCGUACAAAUCUUGCUUGACAACUGGGGCAUCGUGAAGGAUAUAUAGAUGUAAAAUUUUAUGACACUUUCCAUUUCUGUAACUUUAUUUGUUUGAAUAACUUAGGAUCCUUUACAUAAAUUAUUGAAUUUCACGUGCUAAUAUGCCUCUGCCACAUGGGAAUUGUAUUUACCUUUGAAUUCAGAAUUGGACAGGAAGGGCCGUCAUGUUGGGAACUGUCUUUUUGAGGGUCAAACCAUAUUUUACACCUCUGGUUGGCUUGCAUCUAUGUUUAAAAACUACUCCCUAGAACAUACACUCAUAAGUGGAAUUUUCUCCUUUAAAUGCCCAUGUAUGUCCUUAUUAAC
ensembl:lincRNA Gm29771 predicted gene, 29771